AGAACGAACGCUGGCGGCGCGCCUAACACAUGCAAGUCGAACGCUCCGGUUUCGGCCGGGGAGUGGCGGACGGGUGAGUAACGCGUGGGAACCUGCCUUUCGGCUCGGGACAACCGUGGGAAACUACGGCUAAUACCGGAUACGCCCUGGACGCAAGUCUGGGAGAAAGAUUUAUCACCGAAAGAUGGGCCCGCGUCCGAUUAGCUAGACGGCGGGGUAAUGGCCCACCGUGGCUUCGAUCGGUAGCC
rnacentral:rRNA from 1 species